rnacentral:rRNA from 1 species
ACUCAAAGGAAUAGACGGGGACCCGCACAAGCGGUGGAGCGUGUUGUUUAAUUCGACGGUAAGCGAAGAACCUUACCAGGGUUUGACAUCCUGCUAAGUUUUCUGAAAGGAAAACGUGCUUUCGAGCCGCAGUGACAGGUGCUGCAUGGCCGUCGUCAGCUCGUGUCGUGAGAUGUUUGGUUAAGUCCAUUAACGAGCGCAACCCUUAUGGUCAGUUGGAUUUUUCUGGCCAGACUGCCCCGGUAACGGGGAGGAAGGAGGGGAUGAUGUCAGGUCAUUAUUGCCCUUACACCCUGGGCUACAAACACGCUACAAUGGCCGGUACAAAGGGCAGCCAACCCGCGAGGGGGAGCAAAUCCCAUCAAAGCCGGUCUCAGUUCGGAUUGUAGGCUGAAACUCGCCUGCAUGAAGCUGGAAUCGCUAGUAACGGUAGGUCAGCUAUACUACCGUGAAUACGUUCCCGGGUCUUGCACACACCGCCCGU